rnacentral:lncRNA from 1 species
AUCAUGAAGUUCUAUUUUGUUUUUUGAGCUCAUACAGACCUAGGUUAAUGUUUUGCUGAUCAGUUCUAUUUUUUGACUAUAGAGUUUUUAAACAUUGCAAUGGAGAUUUCACCUGUAAAAAGUUAUAAGGCCUUUACUAUUAUGUUAUGUGUUGUGUGCACACUUGUGUUUUAUGUUGUAUGUUUGUAUGUACGUAUGUCCAUAUAUCAUAUAUGAUGAGCGCUCAUGAAAAAAUGGAUCCAAAUAUUUUUUUUUUAUUCACGUGAUUUAAAUGGUUUAAUUUAAAUUGGGUAAACAACUGUUGAGGAUUGUUUUAAUAUGUGAACAAAAAAGGAGGUUAACAGAUCUGUUUGUUUACUUUCACCUUUCCUUUUCAUUAUAUUUAAUAAUUCUCUUCAAGAUAAUGUAAAUUGUUAAGAAAAUUGUUUUCUUUUAGUGCCUUCUGGAAUGUUACAUAAUUUUUUCUUUAGCCAUUAUUGCCAGAAUUCCUAUCUUCAUCCCAGUGCCGGUGAAGACAAAGAUAAAACCAAUCUACAGCUUCUGCAAUAGCCAUCACUGAACUGCUUGCAGAACUUGCCUGGACUAUGUAUCACUUGUAUGCAUUGUGAACUCACCUGUAUGCAUUGUGAACUAUCUGUUGGUGCAGCGACUUGUGGUAGUGUUGGGGUAUUUUUGCUGAUGAUGUCAUCGGUGGUACAAUUUUUCCAAAAUGAGCUGUCAAUUGGCUUGGUGUAUCUUCUUCCCUUCUGCUUGUCAUGAUCGUUCAGUUAAAAUUUGGGGGCCAACAGAGGUGAGGCAAAGAACCUCACCCCCCCCCGCUGGUACAAAGACCUCUCCACAGGUGUGGCUGUAUACUGGACCAGUAGUCAGUGACUGGUAAGAUCCAAUUACAAUGGUACCAACCUAAGACAGGAGGCUGACGACUUGAGGUCAGCUCAUCCGAUAACGGGUAAGGACCAUAUGUACUAUUGGACAACCUAAGGCAGGCACGGUCCCUAAGCCACAUGCUUGUUGUUUAAACAGAGAGGGGGAGAUGUUGAGAGCCAAAAGCCGAAGGGCCCCAGCAAACUUUCAGACUGCCAGCUGAUGAUUGGCUCACAGCGCCCCAGCAACAUCUAGCUGAUUGGCUCCUCUGCGGUGAUACUCAUUGGGCUGUUUCCCCACCCUUUCAGACUGCCAGCUUAUGAUUGGCUCACAGCAGCCCCAGCAACAUCUAGCUGAUUGGCUCCUCUGCGGUGAUGCUCAUUGGGCUGUUUCCCUGCCCUUUCAGACCACGGAGCUGCUCAUUGGGGGACUUUUUUGGCUCUGCCCACGCGACCCAGCCAAUCAGCCUCAAGAGCAGGAGGAUUGUGGGAGAGAGAGGCUUGUGGGAAGCCGGUGGCGGCAGUUGGGCUCUGAGGGUUUUUCCUGAGGAGCUGUUUUGUUUGGCAUGUGUGGUUCUAAAAAUAAAGUUCAUUUCUUUUGACAAGUGGCUCCUGAAUUGUGCCCAGCCAGACUGCGGCAGUGGGGGAUGAAGAUGUUUCUGCUGUGACUUUUCUUAUUCUCCAGCAUGAGCAGGAAAGGGUAAGAGUUAAAUAGUUUUAAUCUUUUUUAGCAUGACUAGGAAAUGACAUGCAUCCUUUCAGCUCACAUCUCAUUGCCAGAACUCAAUCACAAAAUCUUACUCAGCUUUAAAGACGCUAAGGAACAUGACCUCUAACAAGGCAUCAGAACGCCCAGCUAUGAUUUUGAAGUUCUGUUACUAAAGAUAGCAAAGGGGACUUCCAAACUUCCCUCUCAGUAGAACAGACCUCAUUGUCAGAAAAUUGACAGAGAAAAUCUGAAUCCUAUCAACAAACUGAAUUUGGUUGACAUUUAUGACAUAUUCCACCCAAUAACAGUAAAAUACGCAUUGUUUUGAAGAGCACAUUUACCAGGAGAGACUGGUCAUACAAUAACUUCAACAAAUGUUAAUAAAUUGAAAUUCUGUAAAAUAUAUUCUCUGCCUUUAAAGGAAUUAAACUCAAAAAUCAGUACAAUAUCAGGAAUAUCUUCUACCAGUUGGAAAUUAAAAGAAACUUCUAAAUAAUCUGUCAAAAAAUAAUUCUCAAGAGGAACAAAAAAUAUUGAGCUAAAUAAAAAUGAAAAUCCAAUGUAUCAAAAUCUAUGGGUCACAGUAGUGCUUAGUGAGAAAUUUAUAGUAAUAAAUACUUAUAUAGGAAAAGUUUUGAGAAAAAAUUCAAGUUUCUAACACAAGAGACAAAAACCAAAAUAAUUGAAGGCAAGCAUGAGAAAAUAACAAAUUUAAGACCAGAAAUUGAUGAAGUGAAAAGCAUAAGAAUAAUGAAAUCAAUUAAAAUAAAAACUAUUUUGAAAAGAUUAAUAAAAUUGAUGAACUUUGGGUUGAGGGUGUAGCUCAGUGGUAGAGCACUUGCUUCAUUCACAUGUAUGAAGCCCUGGGUUUAAUAUCCAGAACCAGGAAAAUAAAAUUGGUGAACUUUUAGCAAGACCAACAAAGAAAAAUAGAGGGGACCAUAAUUACCCAAUAUCAGGAAUUUGAGAAGAAAUAUCACUACAGAUUGUGCAGAAAUGAGAAGGGUAAUAAAAAACCAUUACAAAAACAAUACACUUAUAUAUUCAACAACUUAAUAAAAUGGGGAAAAAAUUUGAAAACCACAUGAUUAAGUACAGUUAAAUGCCACACAAUGAUAUCCUGGUGAACUUUAUUCCACAUAUAUGACAGUGGUCUGUCGCAGUCUGGCUGGGCUCGACUCAGGAGCCACUUGUCAAAAGAAACGAACUUUAUUUUUAGAACCACACACGCCAAACAAAACAGCUCCUCAGGAAAAACCCUCAGAGCCCAACUGCCACCACCAGGCUUCCCACAAGCCUCUCUCUCCCACAAUCCUCCUGCUCUUGAGGCCGAUUGGCUGGGUCGCGUGGGCGGAGCCAAAAAAGUCCCCCAAUGAGCAGCUCCGUGGUCUGAAAGGGCAGGGAAACAGUCCAAUGAGCAUCACCGAAGAGGAGCCAAUCAGCUAGAUGUUGCUGGGGCCGCUGUGAGCCAAUCAUCAGCUGGCAGUCUGAAAGUUUGCUGGGGCUCCUUAGGCUGUGGCUCUCAACAGUGGUCCCAUAAAAUUAUAACGAAGCUGAAAAUUCGUAUUGCCUAAUGGCAUUGCAGUUGUGAGGUCAGAGCACAAUGUGUUACUUUUGUGUUUAUGGUGAUCCUGUUGUAAAUAAAACUACUGCAUUGCCUAUUGUAUCCAAGAAUAGCAAUACAAUUAUGUACAGUACAUAGCACUCAAUAAUUAUAAUAA